AACAGAGUCUGUCCGGUCCCGGUGAAACUAGCGGCGGUCGUGGGGUGCGACGACGAGGUGGGGACGGCGCUUCAGGCCUCGCCCAAGGGUCUCAGCUCCCUCACUCUCUUCCGCUCCUUCGUCCAGUACUCCUUCUACACCCCGGGUACACGCCCACCCGCUGCUCUCGGCGCCUUCCUCUGGCCCUCGGCCACCUUCCUCCAGGGACCAUGGAAUCAUUGCCAUCGUAGGCCCUCUCACUGGAUUUGUAAUGUCUUCUGUUCCAACUUCACCAGGAGGAGAGUUAGGUCGAAAGAUAUGGGACCUCUCAGAAAUCCUUUUUCGAGCUUUAGAUCUGUCGUGGCCCUCCAUUUCCAGAACUUGUUCUACAGAUAACAAGGUUUUGUACACAUGAAAUGGAUAGAUUCCUAAGCUCCAGAUUGGCUUCAUGUGCUACGCUGCUGGUUGAUGAUUAGCUUCCCCAUUGAUGAAUACAUGGAUACAGGUGUAGGUCAGACUGUUAUAAUCCCACAGCUUAGGUUGAUGUAACAUAGACCAACAUGAAUUUAUCCAACCCAACUCUUUAAUCUCUAAACAUGAACAAUCUUAUCUUUUCCCUACUCAUUUGGAUUACACAAGAAGUUCUUUUAGUCAUACAUGUGAGGUCAAAUUUUCUUUUGUUGUGUCCUUAAAUCUCGUCUUCUUCUCUAUGGGAAUCUUCGAUCUGUGUGACCUUUUGAUGUCUUUAUUUGUGCUUCUUGACUCCACAUAUCUGAUCUUUAACCUUUUGUGUCUUCUAGUUGGCC